rnacentral:rRNA from 1 species
GAUGAACGCUAGCUACAGGCUUAACACAUGCAAGUCGAGGGGAAACGACAUCGAAAGCUUGCUUUUGAUGGGCGUCGACCGGCGCACGGGUGAGUAACGCGUAUCCAACCUGCCCACCACUUGGGGAUAACCUUGCGAAAGUAAGACUAAUACCCAAUGACGUCUCUAGAAGACAUCUGAAAGAGAUUAAAGAUUUAUCGGUGAUGGAUGGGGAUGCGUCUGAUUAGCUUGUUGGCGGGGUAACGGCCCACCAAGGCGACGAUCAGUAGGGGUUCUGAGAGUAAGGUCCCCCACAUUGGAACUGAGACACGGUCCAAACUCCUACGGGAGGCAGCAGUGAGGAAUAUUGGUCAAUGGACGAGAGUCUGAACCAGCCAAGUAGCGUGCAGGAUGACGGCCCUAUGGGUUGUAAACUGCUUUUAUAAGGGAAUAAAGUGAGUCUCGUGAGACUUUUUGCAUGUACCUUAUGAAUAAGGACCGGCUAAUUCCGUG